UUAACUUUUGUAGGAUCAAUUAGACGUACCAAAAUUUAUGGUAGAUUUUCUGAAAUGCAGAUUAAAAUGGAGAAUGGAAAUGGGGAUUUUAAAGAAGAAUAUAAGCUUAGAAAUGACUACAACCAUCCUGGAAGAGCAAAUUUUAUGAAGAAGCCAGCAGAUGUCAAAGGAAAUAAAAAGAAUGGAACAAAGGAAACUUUGAAAAAGAACAGUGAUAUGAAAAUAUUUAAUAAAUGUUUCGCAUUUAUAA